rnacentral:rRNA from 1 species
GACAGAGGGUGCAAACGUUGUUCGGAUUUACUGGGCGUAAAGCGUGUGUAGGCGGCUUCGCAAGUUGGAUGUGAAAUCCCACGGCUCAACCGUGGACGUGCAUCCAAAACUGCGUCGCUAGAGUCUCGGAGAGGAAGGUGGAAUGCUUGGUGUAGAGGUGAAAUUCGUAGAUAUCAAGCAGAACACCUGCGGCGAAGGCGGCCUUCUGGACGAUGACUGACGCUGAGACACGAGAGCGUGGGGAGCAAACAGG